rnacentral:rRNA from 1 species
UAUAUAAGGAGGUAAGGCCUGCUCACUGAAUUUUGAAGAGCCGCAGUAUCCUGACUGUGCUAAGGUAGCAUAAUAAUUUGUCUCUUAAUUGGGGACUAGAAUGAAUGGUCUAACGAGAAAUUAACUUUUUUAGGAAUAAUAAUUAAACUUAAUUUUUUAGUGAAAAAGCUAAAAUAAGAUAAAAAGACGAGAAGACCCUAUAGAGUUUUAUAUAUAAACUAUUUACAUUUUAAUAACUUUUUAGAAUUGUAAAUAAAGACUAUAUUUUGUUGGGGCGACAUUUAGAUAAAAAAAACUUUUUAUAUUAAAAACUCAAAUUUGAGUAUUUACUGAUCCUUAAAAAAGAUUAAAAGUAUAAAUUACCUUAGGGAUAACAGCGUAAUCUCCCUUGAGAGCUCAAAUCGACAGGGAGGUUUGCGACCUCGAUGUUGGACUAAAAUUAAACUAAGGUGCAGAAGUCUUANAUUUAGGUCUGUUCGACCUAUAGAUUUUU